GCUUGGAUGUAUGCAAUUUUGUGUAAUCUUUCAUCUGUAUGUAAUUGAAUAAUAAUGUUGAUUUUCAGCUACAAGGACCGAUUUCUUGCUGCUUUGCCAGCACCUCGCUGAGCAAGUGUUGACUUCAUUCGGCCUGUUUUCACAGCCACUGCAUUCUACUUGUGUGCAAAAAGACACAAGCUUAAAGUAGACAAGAUUAAGCUUAUUGAGCUCUGUGGCACAUCAGAAUCUGAAUUUACUAGUGUUUUCCUGCAUCAAUUUUCUCAUAAGAUGUUGCUUCUUGUGCAACAGAUUUUGUACAUGCAUGUUUCCAUUUUCACCAAGACACUAAGAAUAAAAGACAAACAACAGACGACUGUGACUCUAUAAUAGCCAAAAAGUUAGAGUGCCACCAAUUUUAUAGUUAGUAGAAGCAAAGGUGGAAAUGAAGGGUAGAGAUGUGAAUAGAAAUUCAGAAUAAACAUGUUACUUAC